GACGAACCUUGCUACCGUUAUUCGGUAUCACUGGGCUUAAAGCGUUCGUAGGCGGCCUAGUAGGUGAGAUGUGAAAGCCCACGGCUCAACCGUGGAACAGCGUUUCAAACCACUAGGCUCGAGGAUGGCAGGGGUAAUGGGAACUGAUGGUGGAGCGGUGAAAUGCGUUGAUAUCAUCAGGAACACCGGUGGCGAAAGCGCAUUACUGGGCCAUUUCUGACGCUGAGGAACGAAAGCUAGGGUAGCGAACGGG
rnacentral:rRNA from 1 species